rnacentral:rRNA from 1 species
GAUGAACGCUGGCGGCGUGCCUAAUACAUGCAAGUCGAGCGAACAGACGAGGAGCUUGCUCCCCUGACGUUAGCGGCGGACGGGUGAGUAACACGUGGAUAACCUACCUAUAAGACUGGGAUAACUUCGGGAAACCGGAGCUAAUACCGGAUAAUAUAUUGACCCGCAUGGUUCAAUAGUGAAAGACGGUUUUGCUGUCACUUAUAGAUGGAUCCGCGCCGCAUUAGCUAGUUGGUAAGGUAACGGCUUACCAAGGCAACGAUGCGUAGCCGACCUGAGAGGGUGAUCGGCCACACUGGAACUGAGACACGGUCCAGACUCCUACGGGAGGCAGCAGUAGGGAAUCUUCCGCAAUGGGCGAAAGCCUGACGGAGCAACGCCGCGUGAGUGAUGAAGGUCUUCGGAUCGUAAAACUCUGUUAUUAGGGAAGAACAAAUGUGUAAGUAACUAUGCACGUCUUGACGGUACCUAAUCAGAAAGCCACGGCUAACUACGUG